UACGAAGGGGGCUAGCGUUGUUCGGAUUUACUGGGCGUAAAGCGCACGUAGGCGGAUCGUUAAGUCGGGGGUGAAAUCCUGGAGCUCAACUCCAGAACUGCCUUCGAUACUGGCGAUCUCGAGUCCGGAAGAGGUGAGUGGAACUCCUAGUGUAGAGGUGAAAUUCGUAGAUAUUCGCAAGAACACCAGUGGCGAAGGCGGCUCACUGGCCCGAUACUGACGCUGAGGCACGAAAGCGUGGGGAGCAAACAGG
rnacentral:rRNA from 1 species